rnacentral:rRNA from 1 species
GACGAACGCUGGCGGCGUGCCUAACACAUGCAAGUCGAGCGAGAGGAGUUCUUCGGAACGAAUCUAGCGGCGGACGGGUGAGUAACACGUGGGCAACCUGCCUUAUAGAGGGGAAUAGCCUUCCGAAAGGAAGAUUAAUACCGCAUAACAUUGCAUUUUCGCAUGAAGAAGCAAUUAAAGGAGCAAUCCGCUAUAAGAUGGGCCCGCGGCGCAUUAGCUAGUUGGUGAGGUAACGGCUCACCAAGGCGACGAUGCGUAGCCGACCUGAGAGGGUGAUCGGCCACAUUGGGACUGAGACACGGCCCAGACUCCUACGGGUGGCAG